rnacentral:misc_RNA from 1 species
GCCUUCUGCAAUACUUCCUUUAGGACCAGAGCAAUUCUAUGCGACAUAUGGUGUUCCAAGAAAUUCUCUUUCACCCUCUCAUAUCCUUUCUUUCCCAUUGUCAGCCUCCUUUCUACAUGUGUUGCUAAUUUCACUAUGUUAUUGGCAAGAGGACUUGCACCUUCCUUCCCAACAGGAUGCAACAAGCCUGUUGUCCCGUUCAAUACAAUCUCCAUGGUUCCUCCAGCUGCAGUACCCAACACAGGCAGUUGAAAGGCCAUUGCUUCAAUGGUUAUCCUCCCAAAGCA